UACAAUAUACCCUAUUUACUCCUCGAGUACCGGGUAUAAUUAUUGAAAUAUCUGUUAUAAACAUCAAUCAAAGCGAAAUACUAAAAGUCAUGCGCACGUCAUAAAAUGUAAUCACAUUUGUGUGUUGGAUUGGUCUCGCCUUUUAAAUAUAGUUUACAUCUGUCUAUUUAUUGUUCAUUUAAUUCGAAAUUGUUUGUCCAAAGCCAUGUUCUUGGAAUGGCAUUCCACCUCCCAAUAUUUACAUAAGUCAAAACAUUGAUCAAACAUGCUGCAGAAUAUUUGCCAUACUAAAUACUCACUGUACCACAAGUUAAAAAUUCAAGUCUCAUGAGAAGAACAAAACACCCCUGCAGCGAACAUUUGAUAGAACAAAUAUAUUCGUGCACUGGCUUAAAUGAAAAUUUGCACAAUAAUAACUAAGCAAUUAGCUAUUUCAAUGUAUUACUUCCAAGUAGGGAAAAUGGAGUUAUUCUCAAAUAACUCAAUGGAAUAAAUGUACCCUUGUCUGAUCUGUAAACUGAAUUCAGUUUUACCCGAAUAGCUUUGCCCACUUUGAAAACAUUACAAAUUUGAGCAGAGAAGACAGCAUAUAAGAUUUGAUUUUAUUUCUAUAAAUUAUGAAUUGAUAUAUUCAGAGAAUUCAGAACAGUACUCUGAACCUAUUGGAUUCGUAUACCUCCCCUUACUUUGCCCUUUUGCCCACACUCGCUCAUCGAACAAGACAUAAUACAAAUGUUAAUAUUUAUAGCCAAUUAUUAGUUAAAAGAGUAAAACCACCACAAAUGAACAAAGCAAAACGCGAGAGUCGUCGAACGAAAGGAGCAACAAGGAGACAAAAACAAAUGAUAGCAAAACUCAGAACCUGUAUUUAUUUACAGAAAAGCUUAAUGAUUAUAUAUUUUAGACAUUUUGUGUUUGUGUCGGAAGAAAGUGCAUUUUGCUGCGAUUUAUUUUGUACAACAUAUACGAAAGCAACAGAGAGCGCGAGAGCGAAAGAGAGAGAGAUAGAGAGAGAUAGAUAGUAAGGUUCAUAUAUAACAUAUUUAUGUUGACAUAUUUUUGUAAAAUUGGAAAAUUGCAAAUUGCUUUUAGCACAGUCAUCAGCAAUAAAUCAAUCAAACAAUCACUCGGAUCACGAUCAAUGAAUGAUUCCCUCCCACACACACACACACACACACACACACACAUAUGCAUACAACAGACACGCAUAGUAUUUUAUACACACACACAGUAUGUACUAUAUACAUACAUACAUACGUGCAUACAUACAUAUUUAUGUAUUAUGUAAUAGCCACAUAUUUAUGUGCAAAUAAAUUAAUGAAUUUUUGUGUUUUUUUUUCGAUUAUGUACGAGUAUGUAUGUAUAUUUAUUAGCGAAAAGCUCAUAAAAACCUAUGAUUAAAACUAUUAUAAUGCCUGUGUUUUUGUUUUGUUUUUGUAUAAAAUGCAAAAGUGAAAACGUAUGCAGACAUCUAUGUAUCUGUACGUAUGAAAAUAUAUUUAUGUAUGUUUAGAAUCGUUUAGAUGUAAGAAAACGAUCCACUGGAAGCAGCAUCAACAAAUAGAACUGACGUGCCUAUGUAGCGAUUAAAUCAGACACAUGCCCAAACCCCCACAAAACACACACACACACACACACACACACUCACACACCAGCACACCCACAUACACGCCACACCGAAAACAACUGAUGUAAUGCAUUAAAUAAUCAUUCCAAAAUGUCAUAUGAAAUGAAGCAAACAAAAA